rnacentral:rRNA from 1 species
ACUUUACAAUGCCGGCAACGGCUGAUAAGGGGACCUCGAGUGCCAGGUUACAAAUCUGGCUGUCGUGAUGCCUAAAAAGCAUUGCAUAGCAAGGGCCGGGCAAGACCGGUGCCAGCCGCCGCGGUAACACCGGCGGCUCGAGUGGUAACCGUUAUUAUUGGGUCUAAAGGGUCUGUAGCCGGCCGGAUAAGUCUCUUGGGAAAUCUGGCAGCUUAACUGUCAGGCUUUCAGGAGAUACUGUCUGGCUCGAGGCCGGGAGAGGUGAGAGGUACUUCAGGGGUAGGGGUGAAAUCUUGUAAUCCUUGAAGGACCACCAGUGGCGAAGGCGUCUCACCAGAACGGACCUGACGGCAAGGGACGAAAGCUAGGGGCACGAACCGGAUUAGAUACCCGGGUAGUCCUAGCCGUAAACGAUACUCGCUAGGUGUCGGCCACGGUGCGACCGUUGUCGGUGCCGUAGGGAAGCCGUGAAGCGAGCCACCUGGGAAGUACGGCCGCAAGGCUGAAACUUAAAGGAAUUGGCGGGGGAGCACCACAACGG